ACCUGGAGUCGAAACUAGCGUCCUGUAGGGAGUUUGUCUAUGAACAGUCUCCUGGUCGCAGUACCCUCUCUGGGGGACAGGGGGCGCCACCCAUCCAGAGAGGCACUUCUUCUGACACACCGUCCACCACCAACGGACUCUACGAGAAAGGAAUGGUGAAGAUGUUAGACUUCGGACCAGGACCCAAAAUUAUUCUGUGAACCUCCGCCCCCCGCCCUAGCCCCACACCUCAUCAACAACUCCCUCCAUAUCUAUCAGGGUCGUGUUCACUAGACACCGAAUGGUGCUAAACGGGGAAGGACUAAUUGAACUUGUCCAAUAAACUGUUCUUUCUUUUUUUUGUGCAAAACCUGUUCUGUUGCAAAACGUUUUGCUGCAGUUAGCUACAGCAUGCACUAAUGAAUGUGUCCCUGCCCAGCACAGUCUCCCUCGGUCACCAGGCUUGUAUCCCAGCUUUCAGCUUUCAAUGGGGUUUCAAUGUGCUAGUGUACAUCUCUCACUCUGGAAUGGAAUGGACCAGAUCACUGGACAUCACGGAAGUGAGUCUAGAGUUGUAGAAUGUCAAUGAGACAGAACCUCACCCUCUAAUGCAAUGGAACGUCACGGAACGUCAGUGUUGACAUCAACUGUUCUAGAGCGCCGUUGAGGAGCUUUGAUGACGUCACGGAUCAACGGUACUCCUUCCUCUGUGCUUUACCCAGGAUGCUUUGCCCUGGGGGGGGGUCUCUUAUCGAGGACUGAGUGAGUCUUCUAGGCGCGGGGCUUAUGGCUCUGGCACUUCCUGUUGGGACCAACCUGUAGCAGACCCAUAUGUGGUCAAAAGUAGUGCACUAUCUAGGGAACAGGGUGCGACCCGUGUCUAUAGGUCUCUGGUUAAAAGUAGUGUACUAUGUAGGGAAUAGGGUGCCAUUUGAGACGUAAUCAGUGUCUCGCUACAGGACGGCACGUGUUUUGUUGUUACAUUUGAUGUGUUCUGUUUUUUGUUCCUUUUGUUGUUUUAUGGAGGAAGAAGUCUUACUGGAACGAACGUUUAUCCACACUAAUGAUGAUUUAAUAUUUAAAAAAUUAUAUAUAUUUUACUUCACUUGAAUACA